GACGAACGCUGGCGGCGUGCCUAAUACAUGCAAGUUGAGCGCUGAAGGUUGGUACUUGUACCGACUGGAUGAGCAGCGAACGGGUGAGUAACGCGUGGGGAAUCUGCCUUUGAGCGGGGGACAACAUUUGGAAACGAAUGCUAAUACCGCAUAAAAACUUUAAACACAAGUUUUAAGUUUGAAAGAUGCAAUUGCAUCACUCAAAGAUGAUCCCGCGUUGUAUUAGCUAGUUGGUGAGGUAAAGGCUCACCAAGGCGAUGAUACAUAGCCGACCUGAGAGGGUGAUCGGCCACAUUGGGACUGAGACACGGCCCAAACUCCUACGGGAGGCAGCAGUAGGGAAUCUUCGGCAAUGGACGAAAGUCUGACCGAGCAACGCCGCGGGAGUGAAGAAGGGUUUCGGAUCGUAAAACUCUGUUGGUAGAGAAGAACGUUGGUGAGAGUGGAAAGCUCAUCAAGUGACGGUAACUACACAGAAAGGGACGGCUAACUACGUG
rnacentral:rRNA from 1 species